UAGAGACUUAGGAUAAACAAACCGAGGACCUUCAAAGCCCUAAAUAAGAGUUAUUCUCUUAGUCCCUGACCUAAAACCUAUAGAGCUUCUCUACAUCUCCUGAUUGCAAAUCAGACACUUUAAUUAAACUAAGGCUUCCAGGAGCUGGAGGGCGUUGAUCCCACACAACGUUAGUUAACAGCUAACACGCCAACCAACAAGCAUCAACUCCCACCACCAGGCCUAAGGGCUGCUCGUAGCCCACUAUCUGAUUUGCACUCAGACAUUCUCUUCAGACCAAU
rnacentral:misc_RNA from 1 species